rnacentral:sRNA from 2 species
UAUUCUGCCCUACAGGGAAGGAUGAGAAGCUUCGACUAAGGUUCGACUCGAGCGAAGCGAGAGAACGUUGCCGCAGGCAACGGCCCGAAGGGCGAGGCGCUUUAGCGCUGAGUAAUCCUUCCCCCACCACCA